AGUAAACCGUACCCUCUGGUUCAGUUUGUAACAAAGUUAAUAAGCAUGGGUUAACUCAGUUGUCCAACUAUAUAUUGAGUUACAUCAAUCAUCAGGGCUAGCCUCUAGCGACAAGGCGCGUUCCACUCACUUGAGGAAAACAAGAUUUGGUGGAACAGCCAUAUAGAAAUUGCAGCUUUACUGUUUAAUGUUUGUUACAGCAGCAUUACGACAGGGAAUCAGAAACCAAGAAUAUAGAAACUAUUACCCACGAAACUUAUAACAGUUGACGGAUAUAUAUAUGGAGCAUAAUAAUAUCCUGGAGCUUAUACUUGAUGGAAAGGAGCCGACAUGUGUACCGUUGCAUAUUCUAGAUGAUAUUACAGCACAUUUUUCUAACAGGCGAGUAAUUGGUCAUGGUGGUUUUGGAGUGGUUUACAAGGGAUAUCUUCGAAAUAAUGGUAUUGUGGCUGUCAAAAAGUCCUCGAGCAUACCUGCAACCCAAGAGGAGGAAUUUGAUCGGGAGGUUAAAAACAUGUUGAGAGUUAAGCACGAAAAUAUAAUACGGUUUCUAGGCUAUUGUUCCAAUACACACAAGAUCUAUGUAGAACAUGAAGGAAAGCUGACUCAAGCCCAUGUAUUAGACACCAUGCUCUGUUUUGAGUUUGCAAGUAAUGGCAACCUAAGAAAGCAUAUUAACGGUGAUGAUUCAAGCCUUGAAUGGCCUACACGGUAUAAAAUAAUUAAAGGAGUUUGUGAAGGUUUGUAUUAUCUUCACAGCAGCCAAAUAGUUCAUAGGGAUCUUAAGCCUGAAAAUAUAUUGUUAGAUGAACACUACAAACCAAAAAUUGCGGAUUUUGGUUUA